CUUUAUUGCUUACUAUGAAAAAAGGAAGACAGAGAUUGAUGGAGCUUUGGGGUAUUUUGAGGAAGCUGUCUUCAACUGAAGCGUCACUUCUUGCUUUCUGAUUGUUCCUAUUUAAUGCAUCUGUAUCCUGGUGUAUCCUGGAGCCUAACUUGGGAGAAUGCUGAUGGGUCUUGCAAAGGCAGAACGGAUGAGAAAGAGAACAUAGAUCUACACCCAUAUAUCUUUAUGUGUUGCCAUGGAGUUUCACGCCGCUGAAAUGAUUAUUAUAAGAAAAUAAAAACUACUCAUCAUACCUGUUAAACGAAUCCGAUAAUCACAAGUCAUUAUGAUACCAUG
rnacentral:lncRNA from 1 species